GAAAAGAAAAGAAAAAGAGAGAGAGAAUGAAGAAAGGAGAAGAAGUUAGGGUUUGGGAGAGAGGAAGAACAGAGAUGACAAAUCGCCAUUGGAGAUCGAAUCCAAGGCAAGAAACUUCGAAGCAACACUUUUCUCAGUGCUGGAAAAGGAGUUCGGGUGGUGGAAUCCACUCAUUCCGACAAGAAAAUCCAAGAACGGACAAAGUUUCCUGAAGUUCCUAGACGAGUAUCGGACGAAAAUUGGAGUUUAGUCGAACUUGGGUAAACCGAUCGAAAACAGAAAAUGUGAGAGGUUAGGCAUCGCCGCCACGCGUCGGCCGCCAUACGGAGGAGCGUAGUAGGACCGACGACCGACACGUGGCGACCGCGGGCUGGAGAAAUGCAUCAGGCGUGCGCAACCGGGUCAACCCGAGUUUGAACCGGCGCUCCGCACGCGAACCGAACCGCUCGAGACCGCUCCGACCUGUCCAAACUGACCCGUCUCGACCCGCGACUGCACAGAAAGAAGCGCAUGGGUACGCGCGCGUAGAAUCCGCACGUA